AUGGCUUUCAGGAAAUAAUCUUUUAAUCAAAUGUGAUUUAGUAUUUAUAAUAAAUGUUUCAGAUUUCACCAAGAUUCCUGUGACAGUCAGUUUUAUGAGUCAAGAUUACAACAAGAUCUCAUUUCUGCAUCUGGAAGAGUCUACUUCACCAAAGAUGUGUUUGAGCUUCUCUGUGAAUUGGGAAACCAUGCCUUCGUGUCUGCUCAGGCUUUUGCAGAGACAUACAAUUCUGUCUUCCACAACGAGCAUCCUCACAUGAAACAGUUCAUUGCAUGGCAAUGUCAUAUGAGACUCACAAAUACAAAUGGUAGUCAAUGAAGUCAUCCUGUCUCCGAACAAGACCAGAUGGGGUGUCAUGAAGAAUGGUGUUUUUGAG
rnacentral:lncRNA from 1 species